rnacentral:rRNA from 1 species
GGCUCAGGACGAACGCUGGCGGCGUGCUUCAUACAUGCAAGUCGAACGAGAAGCUAACUUCGGUUAGUGGAAAGUGGCGGACGGGUGAGUAAUGUGUAGAGAAUCUGCCCUGUACUGGGGGACAACAGAGGGAAACUUCUGCUAAUACCCCAUAUGAGCGUACCUGCGAUGGUAUUCUUGAAAGUUCCGGCGGUACAGGAUGAGUCUGCAUCUGAUUAGCUAGUUGGUGGUGUAAUGGACUACCAAGGCGACGAUCAGUAGCUGGUUUGAGAGGAUGAUCAGCCACAAUGGGACUGAGACACGGCCCAUACUCCUACGGGAGGCAGCAGUAGGGAAUUUUGCGCAAUGGGCGAAAGCCUGACGCAGCAACGCCGCGUGAUCGAGACGCCCUUCGGGGUGUAAAGAUCUGUCAGUGGGGACGAAAAAUGACGGUACCCACAGAGGAAGCACCGGCUAACUCCGUGCCAGCAGCCGCGGUAAUACGGGGGGUGCAAGCGUUGUCCGGAAUCAU